GAAUUUUUGGGCAGCUUGAGAGGAUUAUGAUUUGCAUGAGUAUGAUACAUUUGAAUGAGUUUAGAAACCUUCCUUAGUUGAAUGAUUAGUAUUAAUACCAUUAAGUGUGAUUAAUUGCAACAAAGUAGUGAAAUUGAUGAGUUAGGGUUUUGAAUGCUAGGGAUUGUGAACCAAAAUUUGAAGAAAUGCAUAAAUAGCAUGUUGGACCUAUUGUGAAGUG
rnacentral:misc_RNA from 1 species